rnacentral:piRNA from 1 species
UCCCAAGUGAUAGGACUGCAGGUGUAUGC